UACAGAGGGGGCAAGCGUUAUUCGGAAUUAUUGGGCGUAAAGAGCUCGUAGGCGGUGUGUCGCGUCGGCCGUGAAAACCUGCAGCUUAACUGUGGGCUUGCGGUCGAUACGGGCAUCACUGGAGUUCGGCAGGGGAGACUGGAAUUCCUGGUGUAGCGGUGAAAUGCGCAGAUAUCAGGAGGAACACCGGUGGCGAAGGCGGGUCUCUGGACAGUUCCUGACACUGAGACACGAAGGCCAGGGGAGCAAACGGG
rnacentral:rRNA from 1 species